GACGGGGGAUGCAAGUGUUAUCCGGAAUAAUUGGGCGUAAAGCGUCUGUAGGUGGUUUACCAAGUCUGUUGUUAAAAAUCAGGGCUUAACCCUGAUCCGGCAACAGAAACUAGUAGGCUGGAGUACGGUAGGGGCAGAGGGAAUUCUCGGUGUAGUGGUGAAAUACGUAGAUAUCGAGAAGAACACCAAUAGCGAAAGCACUCUGCUGGGCCGAAACUGACAUUGAGAGACGAAAAGCUAG
rnacentral:rRNA from 1 species